rnacentral:rRNA from 1 species
GAUUGAACGCUGGCGGCAGGCCUAACACAUGCAAGUCGAGCGGAUGAAGGGAGCUUGCUCCUGGAUUCAGCGGCGGACGGGUGAGUAAUGCCUAGGAAUCUGCCUGGUAGUGGGGGAUAACGUCCGGAAACGGGCGCUAAUACCGCAUACGUCCUGAGGGAGAAAGUGGGGGAUCUUCGGACCUCACGCUAUCAGAUGAGCCUAGGUCGGAUUAGCUAGUUGGUGGGGUAAAGGCCUACCAAGGCGACGAUCCGUAACUGGUCUGAGAGGAUGAUCAGUCACACUGGAACUGAGACACGGUCCAGACUCCUACGGGAGGCAGCAGUGGGGAAUAUUGGACAAUGGGCGAAAGCCUGAUCCAGCCAUGCCGCGUGUGUGAAGAAGGUCUUCGGAUUGUAAAGCACUUUAAGUUGGGAGGAAGGGCAGUAAGUUAAUACCUUGCUGUUUUGACGUUACCAACAGAAUAAGCACCGGCUAACUUCGUGCCAGCAGCCGCGGUAAUACGAAGGGUGCAAGCGUUAAUCGGAAUUACUGGGCGUAAAGCGCGCGUAGGUGGUUCAGCAAGUUGGAUGUGAAAUCCCCGGGCUCAACCUGGGAACUGCAUCCAAAACUACUGAGCUAGAGUACGGUAGAGGGUGGUGGAAUUUCCUGUGUAGCGGUGAAAUGCGUAGAUAUAGGAAGGAACACCAGUGGCGAAGGCGACCACCUGGACUGAUACUGACACUGAGGUGCGAAAGCGCGGGGAGCAAACAGGAUUAGAUACCCUGGUAGUCCACGCCGUAAACGAUGUCGACUAGCCGUUGGGAUCCUUGAGAUCUUAGUGGCGCAGCUAACGCGAUAAGUCGACCGCCUGGGGAGUACGGCCGCAAGGUUAAAACUCAAAUGAAUUGACGGGGGCCCGCACAAGCGGUGGAGCAUGUGGUUUAAUUCGAAGCAACGCGAAGAACCUUACCUGGCCUUGACAUGCUGAGAACUUUCCAGAGAUGGAUUGGUGCCUUCGGGAACUCAGACACAGGUGCUGCAUGGCUGUCGUCAGCUCGUGUCGUGAGAUGUUGGGUUAAGUCCCGUAACGAGCGCAACCCUUGUCCUUAGUUACCAGCACCUCGGGUGGGCACUCUAAGGAGACUGCCGGUGACAAACCGGAGGAAGGUGGGGAUGACGUCAAGUCAUCAUGGCCCUUACGGCCAGGGCUACACACGUGCUACAAUGGUCGGUACAAAGGGUUGCCAAGCCGCGAGGUGGAGCUAAUCCCAUAAAACCGAUCGUAGUCCGGAUCGCAGUCUGCAACUCGACUGCGUGAAGUCGGAAUCGCUAGUAAUCGUGAAUCAGAAUGUCACGGUGAAUACGUUCCCGGGCCUUGUACACACCGCCCGUCACACCAUGGGAGUGGGUUGCUCCAGAAGUAGCUAGUCUAACCGCAAGGGGGACGGUUACCACGGAGUGAUUCAUGACUGGGGUGA